rnacentral:rRNA from 1 species
AUGAACGCUAGCUACAGGCUUAACACAUGCAAGUCGAGGGGCAGCAUCAUCAAAGCUUGCUUUGAUGGAUGGCGACCGGCGCACGGGUGAGUAACACGUAUCCAACCUGCCGACAACACUGGGAUAGCCUUUCGAAAGAAAGAUUAAUACCGGAUGGCAUAGUUUUCCCGCAUGGGAUAAUUAUUAAAGAAUUUCGGUUGUCGAUGGGGAUGCGUUCCAUUAGGCAGUUGGCGGGGUAACGGCCCACCAAACCAACGAUGGAUAGGGGUUCUGAGAGGAAGGUCCCCCACAUUGGAACUGAGACACGGUCCAAACUCCUACGGGAGGCAGCAGUGAGGAAUAUUGGUCAAUGGACGAGAGUCUGAACCAGCCAAGUAGCGUGAAGGAUGACUGCCCUAUGGGUUGUAAACUUCUUUUAUACGGGAAUAAAGUGAGCCACGUGUGGCUUUUUGUAUGUACCGUAUGAAUAAGGAUCGGCUAACUCCGUGCCAGCAGCCGCGGUAAUACGGAGGAUCCGAGCGUUAUCCGGAUUUAUUGGGUUUAAAGGGAGCGUAGGCGGGUUGUUAAGUCAGUUGUGAAAGUUUGCGGCUCAACCGUAAAAUUGCAGUUGAUACUGGCGACCUUGAGUGCAACAGAGGUAGGCGGAAUUCGUGGUGUAGCGGUGAAAUGCUUAGAUAUCACGAAGAACUCCGAUUGCGAAGGCAGCUUACUGGAUUGUAACUGACGCUGAUGCUCGAAAGUGUGGGUAUCAAACAGGAUUAGAUACCCUGGUAGUCCACACAGUAAACGAUGAAUACUCGCUGUUGGCGAUAUACGGUCAGCGGCCAAGCGAAAGCAUUAAGUAUUCCACCUGGGGAGUACGCCGGCAACGGUGAAACUCAAAGGAAUUGACGGGGGCCCGCACAAGCGGUGGAGCAUGUGGUUUAAUUCGAAGCAACGCGAAGAACCUUACCAGGUCUUGACAUCGAUCUAAAGGCUCCAGAGAUGGAGAGAUAGCUAUAGAGAAGACAGGUGGUGCAUGGUUGUCGUCAGCUCGUGCCGUGAGGUGUCGGCUUAAGUGCCAUAACGAGCGCAACCCUUAUCGAUAGUUACUAGCAGGUCAUGCUGAGGACUCUAUUGAGACUGCCGUCGUAAGAUGUGAGGAAGGUGGGGAUGACGUCAAAUCAGCACGGCCCUUACGUCCGGGGCUACACACGUGUUACAAUGGGGGGUACAGAAGGCAGCUACACGGCGACGUGGUGCUAAUCCCUAAAGCCUCUCUUAGUUCGGAUUGGAGUCUGCAACCCGACUCCAUGAAGCUGGAUUCGCUAGUAAUCGCGCAUCAGCCACGGCGCGGUGAAUACGUUCCCGGGCCUUGUACACACCGCCCGUCAAGCCAUGAAAGCCGGGGGUACCUGAAGUACGUAACCGCGAGGAGCGUCCUAGGGUAAAACUGGUGAUUGGGGCU